UACGGAGGGGCUAGCGUUGUUCGGAAUUACUGGGCGUAAAGCGCACGUAGGCGGCUUUGUAAGUUAGAGGUGAAAGCCCGGGGCUCAACUCCGGAAUUGCCUUUAAGACUGCAUCGCUAGAAUUGUGGAGAGGUAAGUGGAAUUCCGAGUGUAGAGGUGAAAUUCGUAGAUAUCGGGAGGAACACCAGUGGCGAAGGCGGCGAUCUGGGAAGAUACGUGACGCUGAGG
rnacentral:rRNA from 1 species